UACGGAGGGUGCAAGCGUUAUCCGGAUUCACUGGGUUUAAAGGGUGCGUAGGUGGGUUGAUAAGUCAGUGGUGAAAUCUCCGAGCUUAACUUGGGAACUGCCAUUGAUACUAUUGAUCUUGAAUACCGUGGAGGUCAGCGGAAUAUGUCAUGUAGCGGUGAAAUGCUUAGAUAUGACAUAGUACACCAAUUGCGAAGGCAGCUGGCUACGCGAAUAUUGACACUGAUGCACGAAAGCGUGGGGAUCAAACAGG
rnacentral:rRNA from 1 species